GGAGAAUUACCCAAGAGGCUGAAGGGGCUCCCCUGCUAAGGGAGUAGGUCGGGUGACCGGCGCGGGGGUUCAAAUCCCCCAUUCUCCG
rnacentral:tRNA from 1 species